rnacentral:rRNA from 1 species
CCUACGGGCGGCAGCAGUGAGGAAUAUUGGUCAAUGGACGAGAGUCUGAACCAGCCAAGUAGCGUGAAGGAUGACUGCCCUCUGGGUUGUAAACUUCUUUUAUAUGGGAAUAAAAUGUUCCACGUGUGGGAUUUUGUAUGUACCAUAUGAAUAAGGAUCGGCUAAAUCCGUGCCAGCAGCCGCGGUAUAACGGAGGUUCCGAGCGUUAUCCGGAUUUUUUGGGUUUAAAGGGAGCGUAGGUGGAUUUUUAAGUCAGUUGUGAAAGUUUGCGGCUCAACCGUAAAACUGCAGUUGAAACUGGCAGUCUUGAGUGCAGGAGAGGUAGGCGGAAUUCGUGGUGUAGCGGUGAAAUGCUUAGAUAUCACGAAGAACUCCGAUGGCGAAGGCAGCUCACUGGACUGCAACUGACGCUGAGGCUCGAAAGUGUGGGUAUCAAACAGGAUUAGAUACCCGGGUAGUC